GUGUUAGGCUCCUGAGGGUAGUCAGUAAAAGACCACGUGGUUUCCUCCUUGCUCCCUCUGGGAGAAGCCAGCGGCCAUGCUGUGAGCAGUUCUCUGGAGAUGCCCAUUUGACGAAGACUGAACCUCCUGCCAACAGCCAGUUAGGAACGAAGGCCUCCAGCCAACAGCCAUGUAUGGGAACCAUUUUGGAUAGGACUCCUCCAGACCUAGUCACAGCUUCAUGUACCUGCAGCCCUUGCUGAGAUCUUCACUGCAGUCUCACAAGAUAUCCUGAACCAGAAACAUCCAGCCAAGCCACUCCCAGGCUCCUGCCCCUUAGAAACUGGACACAAGGAGGGCUCUUAGAAAUGUGUGAGGAGACUGGUGAUCAGGCAAGGAUAUUAAAGGAAGAGAAUGUGGGGCUGAGAAAAGUUAUCUAUUGCUCAAUUGGACCUCUCCAGUUUCUGUGAGACAAUGUCCUAAUCAUGCAAUGCUGCCAGCACUGGACGCAAUCCAGGGCCACAAGUCUGCACACUCCUUUGCUACUGGUCCUGUAAUGGCAGAACCUUUCAUCUCGCCUUUAUUGUUCACUGUGACCCCUGCAUUAUCUUCAAAAUAAAGAAACACGCCAUCUUUUCUGCGGUAUGACUUUCGUUGUCGAAUAACCACUGCUGGAUGUACCUUUUUUCUGAGCUCUGGUUUGCCUUUCUUGACUGUGGCCAUCACCGUGUCACCCACACCAGCAG
rnacentral:lncRNA from 1 species